AAGACCCGAGGCCACGCCCAGCGCCCCCACCGUGGGGCGGGGUAGUGGAUCUUGAGAAUCCCCCCACGCCCCCGUUGGCUAUUCCAGUGACGGACGGGGUCAUCAGCCAACCGCAGCCCGGGCACGACGCAUGCGUCCACAGAAGCUUUAGCCCUAGAUGGGGAAAAAAAGCCGCGGGCGCACCGCUGUGGCUGCGUCUGGCCAGGGCCUGGGGCAGCGGGUGCGCAUGCGUGAGCCCGACACCACCCUCUCGCUGCGAGACGCGAGCGUACGCAACGUGGCCGGCCGGGGUCUCCGGGGGCGCGCCCCGCAGGGAGAGACCUCGGCCCCACGCGUGCGCGCGGGCCGCGAUCUCGCGCGAGGCCGCCGGUGGACGACGCCCCGCUGGCCCCGCGCGCCCGGCCGUCGGCGGGGGCCCCCUCCUGGCAGCCGAGGGCCCCCCCCCCCCCCCCGAUCUCUGGAGACCGCAACCCCUGACCGCGCACACCGUGACCCCCAAUCCAGGAGGCCGCGACCCCCACCCGCGCAGGCCAAGACCCUCAAUCCUGGAGGCCGAGACCCCGGCCCUUGAGAGGACUGCCCGCCCCGUGGGGCGUUGCUGCACUGGACAGACCAACAGAGAAGCCCCGGAACACGGCAGACAUUCGGAACCGUGUUCCUAAACUGCACAAUACGCACAAUGAAGCAGUAUAGUGUCUAGGUGUGUGUGGUAAAACUUUAAAAAGGCAGAGGAAUGAUAAACACAAAGUUCGUCAGUAGUUAUGUUGGAGAGGGGUUGGGGGUGGGAUGCGGAAAACCAGGCGGGUGCUAGUGGUAACGUUCUAGUUAUCGGGCUAAAUGGUACAUGGAAGGGUAUUUCCUUAUGGUCUAUACAUAACGCAUAGGACCGUUACUCAUUUGUAUAGAAUAUGAUUUAGAAAUAAGUGGAAUCACCUCGCCUCCCGAAACAAAACAAAAGACGCGGUUGGAGAAGGAGAAGGUCUUACCUGUAUUGCACUCGAUUUCCAGAGCAUUUCUGCACAUGUUCUGUCAGUUGAUUCUCACGCCAGCCCUUCAAGGUAUUGUCUCCAUGUGCAAGGUGAAGAAAGGAGACCAAAAAUUCAUGAGGCCGGUGGCACAAAGACAGGAAAGGUGAGCGUGCAGAAGGUCAGCGGGGAGCCCUGGGCAGUUAAAUCUCCAGGGUGCCGAGCACUGUGCCUGGAACAGAGAACGUGGUCGGCAAGCACUCGUUCAGCGGGUGAGUGACGGAACUUUCUGACCAUGUGGGUGUCCAGGAGUGACAGGAGCUGCCCCGAAGGCAGGUGCCCUGCUCAGCAGCUGGCUGACCACCGUGGGGACCAGGAGGACGAGAGAGGCCACUUGGGGGCAAACUUCGGAGAGAAACCCCCUCUGUGACUGUUUAUGUGAGUCUGUAUAUCAGAGGCUGAAGACAAGACCAUGUUACGAUAAUAAGGUUCUCGCCUGCAGCGGUCCCCAGAGAAGGGCCGGGGCAAAAGAGACAUGUUGAAGGGAAAGUUCAUAGGACUCGUUGCCGGAAUGGGUAUGAGCUCCAGUGUUCCGUUGUAAUACUGAGUUGCAGGUAAUCUCACAGAAGCCGCGGUUGGGCGGGUUCUCAAAGGGAAAGCGUGGGGAAGGUUGAGGACAGAGACAGCACCCGGUUGUCCCAAACCAGAGUGGCACAGAAUGACCAGGCUGGGAAGCAGGAGGAAUACGAAUGGCAGAGUGUCAAACUGAGACGCCCAGAGGAGCCAGGCGGAGGAUGUGGAUGUGGGACGUGGCCCCGCCGUGUGACGGAGGCCAUGCCCACCCAAGGAAGUCCGCGGUCUCUUCCAGUUUUUGAGAUGAAGCUGGACUCCCAGCGUUUUAUUUGAAAUCCCGUGGUUUUUAAGUACUGACAACCAAUUCAGAUUAUCUUAAAACUCCGCGCAGGUUAGAAACCAACAACAAACGAACAAAAAAGCCCUCCGCGCCUCUUGGCCUGCUGGUCUCUACCCUCGCUGGCAUGGUGCCCUCAAGCCGCGCAUGCCCCAGGACGAUGUUGCUGGAAGUUUCCCGUUUCUGUUCACGUCGGUUCUCCGGUAGUCCAACCCUUCCCGAUGCUCCCUGGACUUUGAUCAUUUAUCCCCUCCCUGCCUUGUGUUUUCAGCGUCCCCCUUUGUGUUUGUGUCUCCUUCAGUCUCGAAACCUGCCAGCGUCUUUCCACAUCCUGAAGACGCUGCUUCGUUCUCCUACGGUCCCUCCCAGGGCCUUUCUAGAAAGUUCUUUCUUUUUCCCUUCCACACAUUUCCUAGCAGAAUACACUGCAUUCUCCCUGUCUUCCUAUUGUAAGCCGGCUUUGCUGCUCAGCUCGCUGUAGUUUAAGGUCUGCCUCCGUGAUUCCACUGAAGGUUUUCCGACCAGGGCAGAGGUCUCUGUUGCUGAAUUCGUGAGACUGCUCCAACUAGGCUAAACUCACACUCAGAGACCCAAGUGGUGCCCUUUGCUUUAAUCUAUUACCUGAGAAAGGUCGCAUCGGUGUUUAUGGAACCAAACGGGAAAGUGUCCUCAAGAAAGAAGGACAGUCGGCACCAUGGGAUUUGCAGACAGAUCAAAGUCUGUGUCGGCCACACGAAGCCCACUGGGUUGUAAGAAAAGGAGAUUGCCACUAGCUUUUGAGAGGACAGUUUCGGCAGAGGCAGCUGGAAGGUACGCUGCUGUAGUCUGUGAAGAAAAGGGUGGUGACGUGAUGACAGACGGUGCCCAGAGGUGGCGCCUUGGACAAGUUUGGCACCACGGGAAGUGACAUCAAGCAGGAGGUAUUGGAGACACGCGUGCCCGUCAGAGUCCCUGAGGUUGAGGAAAUCCCGGCAUGUCUGCAGGUAAAGCGGGCAAGCCAGUGGCACGGGAGAUACUGGAAAUGCUGGGGAAGGACUACCUGAGAGCCGGCCGCCAGGGGCGUCGGGAAGAAUCGAGAAGUCAGCCAGUUGAAAGGACUGGUCCGCCUUGACGAAGAAGCGAGGAGUCUCUGAAGUAGGCAGAAUGGUUAAAGGCAUGAGUCAUCAUUCUGUCCGGACUCUCGUGGGGGCAGCGGUGACGCAGGAGAGCCCCGGUGUGCGUUUCGUCCGUGACACGGCAGCGACGUCCCGUCUCCAGUCAGAGGGAGGCAUAGCGGAUCCAGGAUUGUUGGCCGCCUUAGCGACAUCACUCUGCACUGGCUGUGUCCCUUCCGCUCCCUCUGCACUGAUUCCGGGGGGCUCUGGCCUUGGCUGCCCCCCUCUCCUCGUCAGGGAAGUGUCGUCCCCACACCUGAGGUUUAAGCAGCCACCUCAAUGCUAGUGACUCCCAAUCUGUGUCUGUGACAUAGAUUUCUCUCCUGUGACCUAGAUCUCUCUCCUGAGCCUCCCAUCUAUGUGCCCAGUAUCUUUAUGACUAGAACUGGUCAUUUCUCCUUAAUGCUUUAUUCUAAUUUUUUAUUUGAUUAAAAAAAAUUUUUUUUUGAUGUUUAUUUUUGAGACAGGAGCCACAGAACACGAGCAGGGGAGGGGCAGAGAGAGAGAGGGAGACACAGAAUCGGAAGCAGGAUCCAGGUUCUGAGCUGUCAGCACAGAGCUUGAGGCGGGGCUCAAACUCACAAGCCGUGAGAUCAUGACCUGAGCCGAAGUCGGCCGCUCAACCCACUGAGCCGCCCAGGCGCCCCAGUUCCAUAUCCUAGCUAAUGGUCGCAGUCAUUUUGCAGUUGUCAAGCCAGAUCCAGGUUUCACCUCCCUCCCCCCUCCCCCCGCAAGUGUGCAUGUGUAUAGUAGAUACUUAAAAGAACAGGAACAUAUUUAUAUUUCGUGUGUUGGGUUUUCUUUUUCACUUACUACCGUCAUGAUCACUUGCGCAUGUCAAUAAAUGCCUUUUUACAUUCUUA